rnacentral:rRNA from 1 species
UACAGAGGUCUCAAGCGUUGUUCGGAUUCACUGGGCGUAAAGGGUGCGUAGGCGGCGCGGUAAGUCGGGUGUGAAAUCUCGGAGCUUAACUCCGAAACUGCAUUCGAUACUGCCGUGCUUGAGGACUGGAGAGGAGACUGGAAUUUACGGUGUAGCGGUGAAAUGCGUAGAUAUCGUAAGGAAGACCAGUGGCGAAGGCGGGUCUCUGGACAGUUCCUGACGCUGAGGCACGAAGGUCAGGGGAGCAAACAGG